rnacentral:rRNA from 1 species
ACGUGAGUAAUCUGCCCCGUACUCUGGGAUAGCCUUGGGAAACUGAGAUUAAUACCGGAUAUGAAACGCAUUCGCAUGGGUGUGUUUGGAAAGUUUUUCGGUACGGGAUGUGCUCGCGGCCUAUCAGCUUGUUGGUGAGGUAAUGGCUCACCAAGGCUUCGACGGGUAGCCGGCCUGAGAGGGUGACCGGCCACACUGGGACUGAGACACGGCCCAGACUCCUACGGGAGGCAGCAGUGGGGAAUAUUGGACAAUGGGCGGAAGCCUGAUCCAGCAACGCCGCGUGAGGGAUGACGGCCU